rnacentral:rRNA from 1 species
UACGUAGGGGGGCGAGCGUUGUCCGGAGUUACUGGGCGUAAAGCGCACGCAGGCGGUCUGCUAAGUUUGGAGUGACAGUUGGUGGCUUAACUGCCAAAGUGCUUCGAAAAACUGACAGACUUGAGGGCUUCAGAGGGACACGGAAUUCCGGGUGGAGUGGUGAAAUGCGUAGAGAUCCGGAGGAACACCAAAGGCGAAGGCAGUGUCCUGGGGAGUACCUGACGCUCAGGUGCGAAAGCCAGGGGAGCGAACGGG